rnacentral:rRNA from 1 species
GGCUCAGGAUGAACGCUAGCUACAGGCUUAACNCAUGCAAGUCAGGGCAGCACAAGGCAGCAAUGCUGAGGUGGCGACCGGCGCACGGGUGCGUAACGCGUAUCCAACCUUCCCGUUACUCUUGGAUAGCCUUCCGAAAGGGAGAUUUAAUACAAGAUGGUGUUGAAAUUCCGCAUGUUAUUUCAACUAAAGAUUUAUCGGUAACGGAUGGGGGAUGCGUGACAUUAGAUAGAUGGCGGGUAACGGCCCACCAUGUCCACGAUGUCUAGGGGUUCUGAGAGGAAGGUCCCCCACACUGGAACUGAGACACGGUCCAGACUCCUACGGGAGGCAGCAGUGAGGAAUAUUGGUCAAUGGCCGGAAGGCUGAACCAGCCAAGUAGCGUGAAGGAUGAAGGUUCUAUGGAUUGUAAACUUCUUUUAUGAGGGAAUAAAACCUCCCACGUGUGGGAGCUUGUAUGUACCUUAUGAAUAAGCAUCGGCUAACUCCGUG